GACGAACGCUGGCGGCGUGCUUAACACAUGCAAGUCGAACGGUCAAGCGCCUUCCUUUCUGGUGGGUGUGGAUGAGUGGCGAACGGGUGAGUAACACGUUAGUAACCUGCCCCCUUCUUCUGGAUAACCGCAUGAAAGUGUGGCUAAUACGGGAUAUUCUGGGUCUGUCGCAUGAUGGGUCUGGGAAAGAUUUUGUUUCGGUGGGGGAUGGGCUCGCGGCCUAUCAGCUUGUUGGUGGGGUGAUGGCCUACCAAGGCGGUGAGGGGUAGCCGGCCUGAGAGGAUCGGCGGUACUGGAGCGACGGAGAGGUGGAGACGACUACGGGAGGAGGCAGCAGGGGGGAUUCUUGAACAGUGGGAGGAAGGAUGAUGCAGCGACGCGGGGGGAGGGAUGGUGGUCUUCGGGUUAUGAACUUCUUUCGGGAGAGAAGCAGGGCGGAAGUGUCUGUGGGUGGGUUGACGGUAGCUGGACAAAAAGCCACGGCUAACUACGUG
rnacentral:rRNA from 1 species